rnacentral:rRNA from 1 species
UACGUAGGGUGCAAGCGUUGUCCGGAAUUAUUGGGCGUAAAGAGCUCGUAGGCGGUCUGUCACGUCGGCUGUGAAAACCCGGGGCUCAACCCCGGGCCUGCAGUCGAUACGGGCAGACUAGAGUGCGGUAGGGGAGACUGGAAUUCCUGGUGUAGCGGUGAAAUGCGCAGAUAUCAGGAGGAACACCGGUGGCGAAGGCGGGUCUCUGGGCCGUUACUGACGCUGAGGAGCGAAAGCGUGGGGAGCGAACAGG